UGCUUGAGCCCAGGAUUUCAUAGCACGCUAUGCCAAUCAAGUGUCCGCACUAAGUUCAGCAUCAAUAUGGUGACCUCCCAGGAGCGGGGGACCACCAGGUUGUCUAAGGAGGGGUGAACUGGCCCAAGUCAGAAACGGAGCAGGUUAAAACUCCCGUGCUGAUGAGUAGUGGGAUUGCGCCUGUGAAUAACCAUUGCACUCCAGCCUGGGCAACUUAGCA
rnacentral:sRNA from 1 species